rnacentral:lncRNA from 1 species
AUCAAGGUAUUAACUGGGGGGAAAAAAGAAAGAAAGAAAAAAAAGGGUUACAGAGAACCCUGCUUGACUGAAGGGACUUCGCACACUGCCAUUUUACCCACACACUGAUAGAAGAAAAUGCUUCAAGGAGAACUCAUUUACCCAGAUAACUUCCUUUAAUUAGGAAAUUUCAAAAAAUUCCCUGAAUGGUUUAGAUAAUAUGUUUGUCCAAUCAUGACUUCACAAGGGAUCUGAAGCAACGUAGUUCUGGUCCAGAACUGUCAGUGCUGAGGAGAUUCCCAGUGUCCACAGCUGCUGCUCCCAAGCUCACUGCUGGUCUUUCUCUAGACUCUCUUCCUGGGCAUUAACUUGAAAGAAGCUGAAGUUUGUUAGCUCUGUGACUCUACCUGGAGCUCCAGCCUUACACAUCCCAAUCAGGAUGGGGCAUCUCCCUGGCUCGACAAGCCACAGGGGCUCCAAAACUGCCUGACUUUUCAUCUCCCACUCCCAUGGAACGUUCUCAUACACAGUGUUCUGUUACUGGCACUGUUGCUCCACCACUCACCCAGGCCUAGCCUCCUGCCUCUCUAACAGCCAAUGGCGACCAAGUCCUAGCAGUCCUAUCUCUAAAGGUCCUCGCUAUCUGUCAUCUCCCCUUCAUUUUCCCAGUUACUCCAGUUACUGUCCUACUGAAGGACCCCCAUCCCAUCUGGGCUACUAUAACCACAUGGACCAUCCCUUGCUUCAAUCAUAGAAUUCUUUCUUCAGAUCAAAGUAUAUUCAGACACUCGAUACAGUAACAAAAGCAAGCUAUCCUGGAAGGAAGAAGGAAUCAGGAGGCAGAGCACAUGGUUAAAGCAUGAGAUGUGAAACCAGGAAGAACCAGGUCUGAACCUUAGCUCCACCAGUGGUAGCUUCAAACCUUGGUCCUUUCUGAGCCUGCUUCUUCAACCGUAAGGAACUCGGAAACGGGACCCAGAAAGUUGUUUUCUCAAGUGGAUGGAACAACACAAGCAAUCAGUAUCCUGAAACAGGCCCUGUUCCAACAAACUGACCCAGAAAGGUCUGGUUAGGAGGACAGGACCCUCACUAUACACUAUCACAUUUAAACUAAAAGGAUAUUAUGAAUUAUGUACACAUAUCAAGCUGAGAGGAAAGGAAAUCCUAUCAUCUUGCAGGCUUCCUAAUGAUCUUACUUAAAACUGAGUUACUGCAACAAUAACGUGUAUUCCACUUA